rnacentral:rRNA from 1 species
AAAAAAAACGAUGAGGCAGCGAAAAGAAAUAGAGCCGGCAGUGCCANUGGCAUUGCCGUUUUCAAUGGGGGAUAUNUAAACCCAUCCAAAAUCGAGUAUCAAUUGGNGGNCAAGNCUGGUGCCANC